AUUGAACGCUGGCGGCAUGCCUAACACAUGCAAGUCGAACGGGGUGGCGGACGGGUGAGUAAUUCCUUAGCACCUGCCUGGUCGAGGGGGAUGACGUCGGUAAACGGGCGCUAAUACCGCAUACUAUCAGAUGAGCCGAGGCUGGAUUAGCUAGUGGGUGGGGUAAAGGCCGACCAAGGCGACGAUCCGUAGCUGGUCUGAGAGGAUGAUCAGCCACACUGGAACUGAGACACGGCCCAGACUCCUACGGGAGGCAGCAGUGGGGAAUAUUGGACAAUGGGCGAAAGCCUGAUCCAGCCAUGCCGCGUGUGUGAAGAAGGUCUUCGGAUUGUAAAGCACUGUAAGUUGGGAGGCGGUACCUACAGAAUAAGCAACGGCUAACUCCGUGCCAGCAGCCGCGGUAAUAC
rnacentral:rRNA from 1 species